GUUAGCCUAAAAAACAAGGGUGACAGAGGAGGCCGAGUUAGAGCAGACACAACCAUGUGCUUCAGCCUCUCAUUUUAAACCAGUGACACCUUCAUGUAGACAUUUCCCCCCUUACAUUAAUUUGCCGGCUGAUUUCAUUAUCCUCCUUUUAUAACAUGUUAGGUCCUUUAUCCCAGUUUUCUGAGCAUUUCUUUGGCUGACUGAGUUUUGUGUCAGUUACUGGGAAAGUUUCUUUUUAGUACCAACAAUAUCGCAACAACAGUACUAGAAAUUAAGCUUGAGAAAUUUCUCACUAGUAUUAGGAUAAAGGAGUGGGGAUGUCAGGCUUAACAAGCUUGGACCACAUGUGGAAGUUGUCUGCUAAGAAAUUGACCAGAUAUUAUGGCCAAGCAUCAGGCAAAGUACGAUUUGUUAUAGUAAAAAAAACAAAUGAAAAUAAAAUUAUUUUUAAAAGUUACCCAUUUUUUACUUAUAUUUGACCACAAACAUGUAAUUUUAUGUAGUUGUUAUCACAGGAUCAUUUGAUCCCCUGUGUAAAUUCUAAUUAAAGUUGAGUUCAGGAUUAUAAAACCUGUAAUAAUAUUCAAAUGCCACUCUUCAAGUCACUGUUACUAUUGCUUGCUCUCUUCAGGAUUUAUUUCUUCAUAUACAGUGAUUUUCAAAGUGUGUUUCAUGAACCUAAGAACUGGAAAUCCUCUAGCUUGACCCCUACCACUGGGAUCAGAAACUAAGUGGCUGGGGCCCAGCAAUCUGGGUUUUAACAAGCCCACCAGAUGAUUCAGAUGUACGCACUAGUUUGAGAAUCACGUCUCAGACGAUAAACUCGGCUUCCCUUCUUUGGUGUGGAUUGGCCCCUGGCCCUUAGUUUCACAGUCCCUCCAACUCAACAGCCACGCCAGCACAGCCAUGCCCAGCUCUCCAUCAUCAUAAGCUGCACCUUGCCUGAUAAGGUUGACCAUCACAUCUGGUCAAUUUCCCAGCAGACGAUUUCAAGCUCCUCCGCUGUUAAGAUUGAAAUCUCUAUUCCCUUCUCACUCUCAACAGAUGCUCUCAACGGCAGUCAGUCAGCAAUCAACCACUGCAUCUCUUUAUCCCAACAGAUCUGACUUCAACCCAUUCUCUCUGUGAUGUCUCUCCCAUUCUUUCUAAGACUAACUCUGCCAACUGUAUUAACAUUUAGUUUUAUGUAAUCCUGUUUCCUCUAAGCCCUUGUCCUCUCCAUGAACUCCACUCUCCUCAUCUUCACUCUGUCCUCUAGCUUUCUUUUUCUAAUGCUUACAAAUGAUAUCACUUUGUGGGUUUGAUUUGCAUUUCUCUGGUAAUUAGAGAUGCUGAUAAUCUCAUGUAUUUAUUGCCAUUUGUACUUCAUUGAUGGAGAAGUGUCUAUUUUAGUCCUUUGCCCAUUUUUUUUAAACUAGGUUAUUUCCAGCUAUGAUACUGAGAUGGAUAAUAAAACCUUAUCACCUAUCAGAUUUACAAAUAUGUUCAUUCAUACUAUGAGGUGUCUUUUUUACGCUCUUGAUAGUGUUCUUGACAUCUAAGUAUGCCAAGCUCUCUCCUACUUGGCUAAGCUCUAAGCUCCCUAAAGGCAGUGGCUGAUCUGCUUUAUUCAUCCCAGUCCUUGGCUCAUAACAGGUGUCCAAAAAGGAAUGGUUACUAGUUGAAUAAAAUCAUUUUGUCUUCAUUUCUCCUGGUAACCUUUCUAGGUAUUCUGACAAACUUCUUGAAUAUGCACUUUUCUUCCUCUCUCUCUUGAAACUAUUUUAUUGAGGUUCACUGAUAAUCACCUAAAUGUCCAUUUCUGCUUUCUCUGAGCCUUUAUUCUGAAUCUCUCAGAAGUAUGUUGUUACUGACCCCUUGAAAUUUGUUUCUCUUUGUUUUCAGAAUCCUUGGUUCAUCCUAUCAUAGUAUUGCUGCUUGUUGGGUGGCUUCUCUUCUUCAUCUUCCCAAAAUGAAAGGUUCAGUGCUUAUCCCUCUUAUCUUUCCUCAGAAGUGUCUUUGUGGAAAUUUUCCUAAAACCUCUGUCAUCAGCUAUGCGCCCAGUGUGGAUAACUCAAAACUCUCUAGCCCUCACCUUCCUAUUGAGCUCCAGUGCCACAUUUUCAAAUACUCAGUAGGCAUUAUCUGGAGACACCUUCAUGGCCUAAGAAAGCAAGGUUUUCCACAUGACAGAACCAGGCCCCAAGUGUCCAUGUGAUCAAGUACGUAAGAGGUAGUAGCAUCUUACCACAGCCCGCUUCAUGAAAGCCUCCUGUGUCGCCUUCUUGUUUGCAGCCUUGCCACUCCAAGCAGCCAGUGCACUGGCCUGCAGGGCCCGUCCAUAAGAGAAACUUAGUUUCCAGGGUUUAGGUAGAGGGCAAAGGUUGAUAGCAUUAAGGUUGAGGGUAGCAUCCUCUUCACUCAUGCCCCCAGACA